rnacentral:rRNA from 1 species
GUGUGAUUACUUUGUUGGUGGGGUAAUGGCCUACCAGAACUGUGAUCUUUAGCCGGCCUGACAGGGUGUUCGGCCACACUGGGACUGAGACACUGCCCAGACUCCUACGGGAGGCUGCAGUCGCGAAUCAUUCACAAUGGGGGAAACCAGAUGGAUGCCAGGCCGCGUGCAGGAAGAAGGCCUUAGGGUUGUAAACUGCUGUCAGAUUGGGGGAAACUGUAUGCGUUAAAUACGCAUGCACUGACUGCCAUUCAGAGGAAGCCCCGGCUAAACACGUGCCAGCAGCCGAGGUAAUACCUGUGGGGCAAGCGUUGUUCUGAAUUAAUGGGAUUAAAGGGUUCGUCGGCGGUUUUGUAAGUCAGGGGUGAAAGUCGGUGGCCCAACCAUGGAAUUGCCUUUGAUACUGCAUCACUUGAGUGUGUUAGGGGAGAGCGGAACGUGUAGUGUAG